rnacentral:rRNA from 1 species
GCCAGACUCCUACGGGAGGCAGCAGUGGGGGAUAUUGCACAAUGGGGGGAACCCUGAUGCAGCGACGCCGCGUGGGUGAAGGAGCGUUUCGGCGCGUAAAGCCCUCUCGGCAGGGAAGAAGGAGGACGGUACCUGACUAAGAAGCCCCGGCUAACUACGUGCCAGCAGCCGCGGUAAUACGUAGGGGGCAAGCGUUAUCCGGAUUUACUGGGUGUAAAGGGGGCGCAGACGGCAGCGCAAGCCAGGAGUGAAAGCCCGGGGCCCAACCCCGGGACUGCUCUUGGAACUGCGCGGCUGGAGUGCAGGAGGGGCAGGCGGAAUUCCUGGUGUAGCGGUGAAAUGCGUAGAUAUCAGGAGGAACACCGGUGGCGAAGGCGGCCUGCUAGACUGCGACUGACGUUGAGGCCCGAAAGCGUGGGGAGCAAACAGGAUUAGAUACCCCAGUA